rnacentral:lncRNA from 1 species
UAAAAACAGCGGUGGCGGUGAGAUUAAAUACUGUAGCAACACUGUAACGUGAGAUAAAAAGUAAGCUAAACGCACCGCAUCGCACCCAAUCGUCCAUCCAAACUCAGCCCCGUUCUUCUGCCCGUUUUAGAAGGAGUUUUCAUUGAAAAAGUCCUUUUCCUUAAGAGGAAUGAAGAACAGCCUCCUUCUCUCCAGAUUAUUUCACCAUCAGAAAAGCACUUCUUUCCAUAUGAGAAGCUAAAAAUUUCUGCUUUUCUUCAGCUUGAAGUGCUUUUGGCUGAAAAUUGACCAAAUUAACUUGUCCUCUUCUCCCACAAACUUUCUCCUCUGCACUUUCACGCCCAGUCUCUCCUCCUUCAUUCCUUCAUUUCUGUUAGAAAAUUUGCCUGAGAUUAUCGAUUUUCCAGUAAUCCCCCACUCUCCUCCUUCUUUCCUUCAUUCCUUCAUUCCUCUCUGUCGAUUAUCGCCGUGGUUUUCUAUGGGUUCGAACUCGUAUUGGAACCUGGACGAACGGAUAUCGCAGCUGACUUGCACUUUAUCGGAGCAGGAGGUACAUAUAUUUUCUUCCCCCAACGUAACAGAUCUGUUUCAAAUUUCUUCAUUUGCGGUUUGAUCUACAGCUUUUGCCACCUGUCCAUUUUUUGUUUAGUAUUUUCUCUGUAUUGGUUUUUGAGACUAGAAAUUAAUAGCCUCAAAAUGUUCUUAGAGGGUAGAAAUGUUCUGAAUUUUUAUUUUUCAUUUGAUGAGUUAAAUAAAAAAGGGAAAAAUCGGGAGAAGAAAGCUUUGUUUUCUUAUUGUUUAUCGUCAUAAUUUUGUGUUUUUAGUUUCUUCAAUUCAAAAGUUUUCUCAUUACAGCUAUUGAGUUUCCAGUUCAGUUGUUUUUGGUUCCAAUCUGACUCGUCGAGUCAGACUUUCAUCGACUCGGUUGUGGCUCGGAUCAAUUGUAGAGAGAAGAUCGUUUGCAUAUACUUGUCAUGGUAAUCCAUUGCUUUAGCGGUUUUUAAUUGCGGUUGAGUUGAAUCGGUUGAACAUGGCAUCUUGUUUUCUGAUUCUUUACUUUAAUUUUAUUUGUUAGAUAUUUAUAGCUUUGGCAAGCUUAAAUUUUAUAGGAAAUUCUUUAAUGGAUUCGAUGUGAUCUGUUUUUUGUUUCAUCUUGUUUUUUUUAUUAUUUAAAUUUAUAUGAAAAGCAUUCAAGUAUAUCAGCUUUAGUUUUUGCUUUAGUUUUUUUCGUGCGCACUUGACCAUGGGAUGGUUGAGUGCCCUAUUAGAGAAGGCCGAUGGAUAGACCCAAUAUCUAUCAGUACUCGCGAUCUGGGGAGUACCUAGGCAACUUAUAAGGUCUCUACAUUGAGGGAAAACCUGCUCUAAGUGAAAAAAAGGGAAGUUAACUUUUUCAUAACCUCUGUUUUAUUUUCCUUGGGCAUUGGAACAAUCACAAGUGCAGGAAAUAACUGGUCAUAUUUUGUGUGGAUAAUAUAUAGAGCGGAGUGAUCUAGAACCUAGCUUUGACAGCAAAUUAUACCUUAAUUAGAUAGAGGUAGUUCACCUCAAGUAUAGGUAGAAUGAGGGUGAUGAGCUCCUUGGUUUGACCAUGGUGCCCGAUGCUUCUGAUGGGAUGAUGCACGAUCACUAUCUUCCACUUAUCAACUGAUUCCCUCAGUGCGCAUCUCAAUUUCUCAAACUAGUAGACACGAUACUUUUACAUUAAUCCUGAAAAUGUAUGAUAAAUGAUCUUGUGUGCUAGAGUAAUUGAUGGCUUUACAUGCUGUUCUAAAGAUCAGCUGGUGUUUCUUGGCACAUGUUAUGAGUGAUUAUAUGCUUUGUAAAUGAUCAAUCAUCUUUAACAAUAGUUGGAAAUCCGCAAUAGUACAUUGUUACAGCUAGUUUUGCUUUAUGGUUAUAUUUUAUCACAGUAAAAGAUAAACUGCAGCCAGAGUUUUAUCAAGUCUUUCCAAAGCAGAGAGGUUUUCACACUUGCAGUUUCUGACUGUAUUUAGGAUUGGAUUUCUUUUCAUAUGGCAGAUGUAUGGUCUUGUGGAGUGACUCUUUGCGUUAUGUUGGUAUGUGCAUGUUUGUACGUGUGUUUUCUUGUUUUUAUUUUGUGCUUCUUUUUUCUUUUUUUCUUAUCUUGUGCUGAAGCAUGAUCUUGUAAACUGUCUAUUCCUUUGGAGUUGUGUUUGGUCAUAAUCCAUAAAGAAACUUUCUUGCUAAAUGAGGAAAAAGUAUGAAGCAGGGUAUUUUUAUUUCGCUGCAUAUGAAGUGGAAUUGCCUUUCUAGGGGUGGCUGUUUGUAUACAUGUCAUAUGGGGGUUAAGGAUGCCAUAGUGAGGCGACACUACUAUGCUGGCGAGUAAGAUGAGAGCCACUGGCUGAAAAUAUCUUAUUUCCUUCGGAUGCUCAACACAUAUGACAUCCUGCAAAAUUGUUUCUUGCCAAUGAUUUAUUUUAUGUUCUUAUGAACAAAGUUCGACUAUGAUAUUUGAUGUAGUUUUAUGUCAUUAUCAUGAAAUUUAGGUAGAACCUAAGAACUAUUUCUUUGUUUAUGAGUCUACUUUGUUAGUGGCUUAUUGGCAAUGAUCUUUUCUGGAUGUGUAUUAUUCAACCAUCUAUUUAUACACUUUCUGUACUUUAUUUACAAAAAUUGCAGUAUGUUACUUCUCGGUAGACACUUUAGUUCCAUUCUUGUUCAUCUUAAAACAGUAUGCAAUGUUAAUGAUGUGGACUGUCCACUAAUUUGGCGUAUUGCUUGGUUCCUGAGACCC